rnacentral:sRNA from 1 species
GCUGGGUGCGAUGGCUCAUGCCUGUAAUCCUAGCACUUUGGGAGGCUGAGGCAGGAGGAUCACUUGAGCCCAGGAGUUCAAGACUGACCUGGGCAACAUAGUAAGACUCUGUCUCUACAAAAAAUAAAAAAAUUAGCUGGGCAUAGUGGCAUGUGCCUGUAGUCCCAGCUACCGGGGAGGCUAAGGUGAGAGAAUCACUUGAGCCCAGAAGGCCAAGGCUGCGGUGAACAGUGAUCAUGCCAUUGCAUUCCAGCCUGGGCAACAGAGUGAGCCCCUGACACU